CUGAACUUGGUGCGUGGGUUCCUACACGGAAUUCCGCCACGGUUCAAGUCUACGGUUAGACAGGCUAUCCUGAAGAGUUCCUCUAUGAAUACCUCCUCACUACCUCCACAGCUGGAGCUGUGCAUCUGUCUUGAAGGGACAGACUGGCUUGGAAGAAGACUGACCGGUUUCCUUCACAAACCAUGCCUUCUGAAGGAAUGUUUUGCUGUGGCUGACGGGAAAGAGUAAAGAACAGUGCUUCAGAAGACUGGGAUUCUGACGGUCUGUGACUACUGCCUCCUAGAUCAUCGUGGGGCAAAACCAAACAACCAGCAUCUUCUCAAGGACACACAAACCUCACUUUCUUCAUCUACAUUAUAUAGGUGGUAGAUUAACUUCUUUUUUUCCAAGUGCACAAACAUAAAGGUUUUUCUCCUACUCAACUCAUAAGAAAGAUUUAUUGAAGAACAAGAAAAAGGAUUUUUUGAUAAUGUAAUGUACACUGAGUGUGUUCUAAUUUAGUCAAGCCAUGAAGGCGUUUACGACCUAGGCUGAUUUGUAGGUGAAGGUAUCAAACUCAAAGGACAAUGAAAAUUCCUGGAGAAAUAGUUGUAAAAACCACUAUUCUAAUUUUUCAUUUUCAAAAUUAAGGUAAAACAUAGUAAGUAGUUCUUGUGGUGCUAGGAAGUGAACCCAGGGCCUUUCACACUCCAGGCAAGUGCUCUAUCACUAACCUACAUUUCCAGACUAUUAAAUUUUUUAAAAAUUUUGAGUCAAGUUCUCGCUAAAUUGCUAGAUUGUGGCAAUCCUCCUGCCUCAGCCUCCUGAAUAGCUGGGAUUGUAAGCUUGUGCCAACAUGUUCAGUUUCUAUCACCAAUUAUUUCAAAGUGAGUGAGUUGUCCCUUUUCAUGGGAUUACCUUUGAUAGUAUGAAAGCACUUUAUAUUGCAGAGAAGUGUCUAUGUAGAUGUUAGGCUAAUUAUUCUUAAGCUAAACAUUCCAGAAAUGACUUUUUAGGGUUAAAACAAGUUGAGCAGGAUGGUUUGUCUCUCUCUCCCCCCACCUCUUGCUUAGAUACACCUUCAACUGGAAACCCAUGAGCUCAUACUUUCUAAGCGUGCUCAGUGAUGAAGUCGCAGACCUCCACGGAAUGUUUCAGGAUGGCAGGAAGUGGUUGAGGUUAUUCAUUAGGUGGUGUUCUCCCUUGACUUCUGCACUAGGUUGGGAAAUGUUUGUAUUGGAAGUGAUGUCAUUCAGAAGAGAUGUCAGAUCAAGGUCUAGGUUGCUUGUGGUCACUAAAUACACCAUAAUGUUUCUUUUUUUUUAUGAGCAUACAGAUGCUCUUGAUUUUAAUUUUAAA